ensembl:lincRNA Snhg12 small nucleolar RNA host gene 12
UUUCUCUCUUCAUCCGCUGUCCCUGUCGGUUUUCAUUAUGGCGCCUUGUACUUCUACCCAACGUUGCCCGCCCCCCAUCUUCCCAGCCCACCAGCUCCGUCCGCCUCUCCGGAAGAUUCGUGAGAUACCGAGCCUGCCGGGAAGGGACCGGAUUUUUCCGUCUGGUCCAAGGAAGCACGGGUUAUGGCCACAUGCGCAGUGAUAACUCAGGGCCCCACGCCUUUUGACCCCUGUUGAUGAAGAUUGUGAGGAGGGAGACCAGAAGAUAAUGGACAACGAUACAGCAGAAGGGUCUGGUUACACUUGAGCUUAUUUCUUGGAAGAGUCUGAGAAGGCGGCCUGUCAGGCUCCUAACACUAAGGGCCAUGUAACCAGUGAAGCAGCCAUUAUAUAUGAUUUGGUCUAUACUUGUUGGAAAAAUUCCACAAGAGGAUCUCCUGGAAGCUAGCAGAAGUUUUUGGCUUGUACAUUGCCAGGCAGCCAUUGGAAUCGGAGCUGCAGUCAGAUUAAGGCCAGCCUGGCCUACAUUGAGAAACCUCAUUUUGGGAAAGUGAAAUACUUUGUCAAUUAACAUGCAGUUGGUUCAAUAAAGACUUUUGGAAAGUG